ensembl:antisense
GACCUUCACAUGAGUCCUGUGAAGAAAGAAAUUGUAAAGGAAUGCAAGGAUGAUUGAAUGAGCCCGCCAUCUUCCUUCUGAGCCCAGCAGAGGCUCCAGAGUGCUCUCCACACUGCAGGACCUCUGGAUCACCUCGGGAUCACAGCUACUCUCUGAUGAAGUUGGUGGCGCUGUGGAGGAGGACCGCCGCCUCCUGGACGAGGACCGGGAGCGCUCAGCAUUGUAGGAGACAUGCUUGUCGUAGUUCUCCAUCUGUGUCUCAAUGAAGUCCCUUUGCUGCUGUCUGAUGGUCUGGCUGAUUAGCCCAGGGAGGGCAUGAAUGCUACCAAUCAAAGUCUCUAGUUUUGUUUCCAGGGUGACGAUCCUUUUCUCAAAGUCUUCACUCCUUUCAUUUAAGUCGGAAAUCAUGUCAUACAUGAUAUUCUGGGUCUGGAAAACAAGAAUGAGAAGAUAGAAACAGAGAAGGAAGAGGCUUAGUGACUUUUGCCUCAGAAGCGAACUGUCAACUCUUCAAGCUUCAGCACUGGCCUCUUGACAGGUGUGUCAGCUAACAGAAGAGUUUAGGUCACAAAGC